rnacentral:rRNA from 1 species
GACGAACGCUGGCGGCGUGCUUAACACAUGCAAGUCGAACGGAAAGGCCCUGCUUGCAGGGUACUCGAGUGGCGAACGGGUGAGUAACACGUGGGUGAUCUGCCCUGCACUUCGGGAUAAGCUUGGGAAACUGGGUCUAAUACCGGAUAGGAGCCAUCUUUAGUGUGGUGGUUGGAAAGUUUUUUCGGUGUAGGAUGAGCUCGCGGCCUAUCAGCUUGUUGGUGGGGUAAUGGCCUACCAAGGCGGCGACGGGUAGCCGGCCUGAGAGGGUGUACGGCCACACUGGGACUGAGAGACGGGCCAGAGUCCGACGGGAGGCAGCAGGGGGGAAUAUUGCACAAUGGGCGCAAGCCUGAUGCAGCGACGCCGCGUGGGGGAUGAAGGCCUUCGGGUUGUAAACUCCUUUCGCUAGGGACGAAGCUUUUUUGUGACGGUACCUAGAUAAGAAGCACCGGCUAACUACGUG